rnacentral:misc_RNA from 1 species
UUAAGUUCAGCGGGUAAUCCUACCUGAUUUGAGAUCAAACGUUCAAAAGCUGUCCUCGCUGAGGAGGGACAUUUGUGAGCUCCAGAGAACCUUCAUCGCUGAAGGCUAUAUGGUGGAAACCACAAGCGUAGAUAUUUAUCACACCUGCGAUGCCACCAAACACUGGCAAGCUGAUCCAUUUGAGAGGAGCCAACCAUAGG